CGAGUGACCGACUCCCCCCCCCCCCCCUUUGCCCCUUUUUGCAUGAUGACCACGCGGUGACUCUGCCAGCAUCACCCGGUUGCAAAAAAAACGCUUCGAUGAGGAAACAUUCAUGGUUCCCGAACGCUACAGUUUGAAGUCCCUGCGUGUGGAAAGCACCAUUCACACAAUUCCAUGCUUUUUGCUAACCCGUUUCAAAUUCAAUUACUCUAGUCAUUAAAUUAGGCUUUGUACUCUCACUAAGAGACUUUAGCAAAACAUCUAAUUGAUGUUAGCUUGUCUAUUUGUUGGUAGAAUAUAUGUUAGCAUUGAGCUAGUGACAAAUGGAAUGAAAUGGUUUGGUUCAGCAUUUUGGGGUUUGACACUCUCCUGUUUUAUGUUUCAGUUCUAUCGUUGACCUCAACUGGGAGUGGUGACCCCUUGCACUUUGGCUUUUCUUUGGAGAACUGUGCAAGCAAGAGUGAGAAAAGACAGCAACAUAUAUUUUGAAACGGCUUUUGAAGUUCCAUGAGCUCUUCCUGGUUGGAGAAUUCCUGGAGGGAGGAGUUCAUCUCAUCCAGCAGAUCCUCUCCCAGCAGGAACGUCUCGACGUUGUGCAGCGUCAUACCGAUCCGGUGAUCGGUGAUGCGAUCCUGGGCAAAAUUGUACGUACGUAUCUUCUCAGAUCUUCCUUUGGUGCCAAUCUGUGGAGAAAGUGCAGGGAUGAAACGUAACACAUUUACAAACCGAGAGACAAACAUACUUGAAGCAGUGUGUACCUGCACUUUGCGCUGAUUAUAGCGCUUGCUGGUCUCCUCCUCCAGCUUCAUGCCGUAGAGUUUUGCCCGCAAAGCUUUCAUGGCCUUCUCCUUGUUUUUUAUCUGAGAGCGCUCCUGCUGGCACUCUGCCACAACACCUUGGACAGCAAAGAAGCACUUACUUAAGGUCAUAUCUUGUCAAGGGGCCAAGCUCCAGAAUGUGUUGGUACCAGUGGGCAGGUGCACAAUUCUGACAGCGCUGUCUGUGGUGUUGACAUGUUGACCCCCCGCGCCGCUUGCCCGCUUUGUUUCGAUCUUCAGGUCCUUUGGGUUUAUUGUGAAGGAGAUCUGAAGAGGAACACAACAAAAGUGACACACAAGGCAUCUGAGACAAGAAUUCUAUUUUGAAACGAUUGAUAUUUUUAAAAAUCAUUUUCUUCUAAACUUUCUACCUCAGUGGGUUGAGGCAGCACAACCACAGUCAUAGUGCUGGUGUGCAUGCGGCCCUGUUUUUCCGUCUUGGGGACCCGCUGGACACGGUGAACGCCGCCUUCGAACUUCAUCCUCCUGUAGCUCUGACGGCCACUGAUGCUCGCCGAGGCGUGGCGCAGUCCGCCUAGGCACAAGACGUCAAAGGACCAGCCGUUGUACCGAGCGAAGCCUUCAUACAUUUCAAACAGCUUCACACGGGGGGG